UACAAUGUUUAACUAUUUAUUUUAUUAGAAAAAUUUACGAUUAAUAAUUUUAUUUUUAUUAGAUGAUAAAACAUAAAUAGUACUUUAUGUGUAACUAAUAUUUUUAAAUUUUUUUAAAAAUUUUUCAAAUAAGACGGAUGGUCAAAUGGUCGACACAAAAAAC
rnacentral:pre_miRNA from 1 species